GAGUGCAAGUGGAAAGUCUGACUUGCUUCUAACCAACAUAAUAUGGCAAAUGUGAUGGAAUGUCACUACUGAUGGAAUGUAAUUACGUUGCAUUAUAUGGCAAAGCCGAUUUGAUGUCACUCCUAUGAUUUAUGUAUGAUUUAUGUUAUGAUAUAUAAAACUCCAUCUUAGUUAACUAGGGUGAGAGACUUUGCUAGCUUUGAAAAAACAAACAGCCAUAUAAACUAUCUAUGAAAAGGGCCAUAUGGGAGGAACUGUGGGUCAUCUCAAGGACCUGAAGGGGACCUCCAGCUGAAAGCCAGUAAGAAGUUGGGGCCUCAGUCAUACAGCUGCAAGGAAAUGAAUUUUUCCAACAACCUGGAUGAGCUUGGAAACAGAUUCUACCCCAGUCAAGUACUCAGGUUUCUACAGCAAUGUUAUCUUGAAUGGUUUGUCAACAUGUUUCACUGAGAAAACUUAAAGCAACUCUGGUAAUUACAAGUGGAACCUUGUUACAAGUGGAACCUUGACAACUUCAGAAGUGACCAUCACAACCAAACAUUCCCUGCUCUGAAUCACCUGACAUUCACUGUCUCAUUCACACCAGCUUCUUCAGGUGGCCCUUGAUGAUCUGCCUGCCUCCACAGAGGCUCAGAAAAUUAGCCUUUUCUUUUUUUCUAGAUUUCACUCUUCAUGAUGGAUGUGAAAGACAGUAAAGUAUGCUAGUUAAAACCCAGCCUCUGGAGACAGACUGAUGUGGGGUAAAUCCAGCUUUGCCACUUAACAGUUCUCUGCUCUUGCACAAUUUUACUUAACCUCUCUGAACCUGAAAUCAGGCUAGUUACAGCAUAUUAGUGAAGCAUUCAUCACAGAACCUGAACAUAGGGAGUCCUCAUUAAUGACAGUUAUUAUCAUCGUUAUUAAUAUAUUAUAAUCACAUGGCUAUUGCUUUGUACUUAUCACAUAGUCAUUAAUGUCCCUAGAAUAGUGCAGAUCGGAUGACACCAGUUAUAAGACCCUGAGAAGCUUAACUCAGCAAAACUAAGUUGUUUAAAUCUAUGUUCUAGCUCAGAGGUUGGCAAACUUUCUCUGAAAAGGGCCAGAUAGUAAAUAUUUUAGGCUUGCAGGCCAUAUGGUCUGUGUUGCAACUACUUAAUUCUGCUAUUAUAACUCAAAAGCAGCCAUAGACAAUACAAAAGAAAAUGAGUAUGUUUGUGCUCCAAUUAAAUGUUAUUUACAAAAAGAAUUGGCUGUUUGGAUUUAACGUGUAGGUCAUAGUCUGCCAACCCCUGCUCUAGCCCCUUGUCCAUGUACAGCAAGGUACUCCCAAACAGAAUGCUAAUGGGAAGGGCACGUGGCACAGUAGACACAAUAGAGUUUGAGUCUCGAUUUUGUCAUGUCCUGACUGUAGCAUUCAGGGAAUAUUACUUAACUCUGUAGAAUUCUGAGAAUAUUACUUAAUUCCUCCAUGCCCCAGUUUCUUCCUCUGUAAAUCCUAGGCAAUAGUACUUCCUGGGCAGGGUUUCUGAGGAUAGAUGACCCCAAGUAUAUAAAAGAUAAUUAAGUAAAAGAGAUAACAUAUGUAAAUGAGAUAAUGUAAGUGUGUAUAUUUCAGGCUUUUUUGCAUGAAUUUACUU
ensembl:lncRNA Novel transcript